rnacentral:rRNA from 1 species
GUGCCUAACACAUGCAAGUCGAACGAAGCACUGCGGAUGGAGAUUCGUCAAAAUCUGCUUUGACUUAGUGGCGGACGGGUGAGUAAUGUGUGAGCAACCUGCCUUUCAGAGGGGGACAACAGUUGGAAACGACUGCUAAUACCGCAUAAUGUAUUGGAAGGGCAUCCUUUUGAUACCAAAGGAGCAAUCCGCUGAAAGAUGGGCUCACAUCUGAUUAGCUAGUUGGUGGGGUAACGGCCUACCAAGGCUGCGAUCAGUAGCCGGACUGAGAGGUUGAACGGCCACAUUGGGACUGAGAUACGGCCCAGACUCCUACGGGAGGCAGCAGUGGGGAAUAUUGGGCAAUGGGCGAAAGCCUCGACCCAGCAACGCCGCGUGAAGGAAGAAGGUCUUCGGAUUGUAAACUUCUUUUAUGAGGGACGAAGGACGUGACGGUACCUCAUGAAUAAGCCACGGCUAACUACGUGCCAGCAGCUGC